rnacentral:rRNA from 1 species
AAAGAAAGCGUCAAUGAGGGUGAGAUUCCUUUUUGUCAUUUGCAGUCCUCCGUGCACGGUAUAUAUUUGACGAGUCACACUCCUUGGCAUUGGAAUGCAAAGUGGGUGGUAAAUUCCAUGUAAAGGAAAAUAUAUUAUUGAGACUGAUAGCAAACAAGUACCAUGAGGGAAAUAUGAAAAGGACUUUGAAAAGAGAAUUAAAAGAGUCUGCAUUUGCUGAACAGAAAGCAAACAGAAUUGAUCUACUUGGUGAGAUUGUUGCGUCCACUUGUGGGCGCAAUGGUUCUUGCCUUGAAUGUCAGCGUCUACUUCUGCAAAUUAUUACCCUUGCAUAUGAAUGGUAAUUUGCCUGUGGGCAUUGGAAUGCAUGUGUUUGCAAUGAUUUGUGAUUUGAUACAUGUGUCUGGUGUUCGUGUGUGUGCCUUCUUGCCAACAAGGGGAGGGCUCUCCUCCCUGGGCACUGCAAG